UUUUCACACAUUCAUGCAUAUAGUGCGUGUAUAUAUAUAUAUAGUGUGUAUAUGUUGAUGGCACUAUAACAGUCGGAAGUAUAUAUGCUAUGUAUAUAUAUUUAUGGUGCAGAUUGUUAAAUAUGGACUUGGAAAACAUGGGCUUGAAAAAAAAAAAAACGUUAGGAACCCACAUGCCCCAAAUAACUUCCCUUGAACCCGUAAUUUCCACCGCCUCCUUCAUCUCAGCAUUUUCAUUUUAUUUCUGGUCUAGAAGCUUUCGGGCAAAAAGAGAAACAGAGGGUGCGUGUGUGAGAGAGAGAGAGAGAGAGAGCUCCAUUCGAGAGGAGAGAUAGGACGGACGAUAGAGUGGUAGAGAGGGUGGCAGGGAGGUCGGGCUGAAACUCAUGCAAGAGAGGGCCGAGCUUCGGCUUUGUUCACGGGAAGAAGAACAGAGCAGACCCGACUAGAGAAACAACGCGAGGGAGACAACCGAGCCGAGCCAAUUUUGAAAGAGUAAACGACUAAACUUGGGGUUCUUGAUUAAUGAGUUAGGAGCAAGACUAGCAAACACAUGAGAACUGUUUGGACAUUGGGAAUUAGCUUAGAGGAUUAGGUAGGAACUUUAGUUAUUGGAUAAGUAUUCUUUUUGUAUAGAAUGUAUUGAAAAUGUUACGAUCUGAAUAUUUUGUUUAGUUGGUUUAGUGAUGUAGUUCUGCUGGAAUAUAUAUAUAUAUAUAUAUAUAUAAGAGCUUGCUGGAUUGGUUAUAUGUUUUUGGAAGUUAUGGAAAGCAAGUUUUUAUGUUAAUAGUUCAUGUGAUAAUUGAUAUCGAGGAAAUUUAGGGAAA